CUAGGAAGUAAUUUUUGUUUACUUUUAAAUACCACCCUCUGUAAAUAGUAAUUUAUUUUGAGUAAACAUUGAGUGAGAUAUAAAGCCAUAGAAUACAUCCAUGCCACUCAUAUUCAGCCACUCAGAAUGAUGGGAAGGAUUGCAGAACUGAGGCUCAUGAUGGUUUGAGAAAAAAUCAGCUUGGUGUAAUUUGACAGUAUUUGACAGUGGUUCUAUCAUGCAACAGUCAUACCAUGAGGUGUCUCACAGAUUCUCUCUCAAUUCCUGCAAUAUCCAAGAUUACAGUGUAGUGCAAAGAGGAUUAAUUUUCUUGCAAUAAAAAGUAUCUGCGCUUCCAAAUACCCGGGUACAGCAUGAACAGUUUCUUCGUUUUUUGAGUGAUUAUAGAGUGAAAAUGUUUCCAUAUAAAAUGUUGUCUUUUUAUGUGUAAAACUUCACAUGUUAUGAAUGGUUACAAAUACAUGUAUGGACAUUUUGAUUCCAAAUUUAUGCACAUUUUGAUUCCAAUAAUUAACCACAAAAGUAUUUUAAAUUUGGUUUAAAAUACAAAUAUUGUCCUUUUGUUUGUUUCUAAACAAUUAGUGUUUAUAGUUUUCAUGUCAAUUUAAAAAAAAAAGUCAGUUCUUUUAAAGGUGCAAUCUAACUCCCACAUAAGAUCCACCACAAUAAAUACUAUAGUUUUAUUAUUCCAAAAAGGAUGAAUAAAUGUCGAAAACAAUGGUUCUAAUGAAGGAUACCUAUUUUAAUUUGAAGGAAAUGUGCAUAAAACACAGUAUUUCUACCAUUUGAGAUCAUAGUAGCCCACAGUAAAUCUUUUAGCAUUCACCAAUCAUUUAAUAUUUUUGAGUUUUCAGCUAUUAAAUACACGGUUACAAUCUUGUUAUCAGUACUGAAUAUUUUCCAUAAAUGAAUUAUUAAGUAAGUAGUUAAAGGGUUAACAGUCAAAGUAUAUGUUUGUUAUACAUGUGUAUGCAUUGAUAUAGAAUAAGUGUGUCAUUUUAAACAGUUGCCAUGGUAACUAGAGUCUAGUUUUCUAAGGAAACUGUAACUGUUGACUAAAAACCUUAGUAUUUUCAAUGUGAUACAUGUCCCCUUCGGUCAAUGAAAUAUUUCUGUUAUAUUUUAUUCAUUUGUUCAUACUUUGUAUACAAUUAUAUUUAUGAUUUAACCUUGAAAAAUGCUGACAAUCUCAUACUUAUAUUAAAAUAUUCAGAACUGCUAGAUGGUUUUAAGUUCACCUUUUUUACAAUUGUCAGGCAAAUCAAUGCAAGAUAUACAUAAUUCUCCCUAUUAACAAAAAGUAAUGUUUCUUAGCAUUUUUUGUA